rnacentral:rRNA from 1 species
CCAGAGUUUGAUCAUGGCUCAGGAUGAACGCUAGCGAUAGGCCUAACACAUGCAAGUCGAGGGGCAGCAUAGAGUAGCAAUACUUUGAUGGCGACCGGCGCACGGGUGAGUAACACGUAUGCAACCUACCUACAUCAGGGGAAUAACCCGGAGAAAUUCGGACUAAUACCGCAUAAUACAGGGAUGCCGCAUGGCAAUAUUUGUUAAAGAUUUAUCGGAUGUAGAUGGGCAUGCGUUCCAUUAGCUAGUUGGUAAGGUAACGGCUUACCAAGGCAACGAUGGAUAGGGGAACUGAGAGGUUUGUCCCCCACACUGGAACUGAGACACGGACCAGACUCCUACGGGAGGCAGCAGUGAGGAAUAUUGGUCAAUGGACGAGAGUCUGAACCAGCCAAAUCGCGUGAAGGAAGACUGCCCUACGGGUUGUAAACUUCUUUUGUACAGGAAUAAAAGAAUCUACGUGUAGAUUAUUGCAUGUACUGUACGAAUAAGCAUCGGCUAACUCCGUGCCAGCAGCCGCGGUAAUACGGAGGAUGCGAGCGUUAUCCGGAUUUAUUGGGUUUAAAGGGUGCGCAGGCGGGAUUUUAAGUCAGCGGUGAAAUUUUCAGGCUCAACCUGAACACUGCCGUUGAAACUGGGAUUCUUGAGUAUGGAUGAAGUAGGCGGAAUUCGUUGUGUAGCGGUGACAUGCUUAGAUAUAACGAGGAACUCCGAUUGCGUAGGCAGCUUACUAAGCCAUAACUGACGCUCAAGCACGAAAGCGUGGGGAUCAAACAGGAUUAGAUACCCUGGUUAGUCCACGCCGUAAACGAUGAUUACUAGUUGUUUGCGAUAUACCGUAAGUGACUAAGCGAAAGCGAUAAGUGAUCCACCUGGGGAGUACGCCGGCAACGGUGA